GCUGGCGGCGUGCCUAAUAAUGCGAGUCGCACGCACGAAGUUGAAGAGCUUGCUCUUUAACUAAGUGAGUGGCGGACGGGUGAGUAACACGUGGGUAACCUGCCCAUUAGAGGGGGAUAACAUUCGGAAACGGAUGCUAAUACCGCAUAGUUUCAGGAAUCGCAUGAUUCUUGAAGGAAAGGUGGCUUCGGCUACCACUAAUGGAUGGACCCGCGGCGUAUUAGCUAGUUGGUGAGGUAAUGGCUCACCAAGGCAAUGAUACGUAGCCGACCUGAGAGGGUGAUCGGCCACACUGGGACUGAGACACGGCCCAGACUCCUACGGGAGGCAGCAGUAGGGAAUCUUCCGCAAUGGACGAAAGUCUGACGGAGCAACGCCGCGUGAGUGAAGAAGGUUUUCGGAUCGUAAAACUCUGUUGUUAAAGAAGAACAAGGAUGAGAGUAACUGCUCAUCCCCUGACGGUAUUUAACCAGAAAGCCACGGCUAACUACGUGCCAGCAGCCGCGGUAAU
rnacentral:rRNA from 1 species